rnacentral:misc_RNA from 1 species
UAGAGAAUUGCCACCAUGACUCUGUCAAACAUACAAGCGCAGACAUCAGGGCCUCACGGCCCCGUGCAUGUGUGGGAGGAUAGAAAUAUCCCCCUCGUUUGUAAUGAUCCUUCCGCAGGUUCACCUACGGAAA